GCCGGGCGUGGUGGCUCACGCCUGUAAUCCCAGCUCCUUGGGAGGCUGAGGCAGGCAGAUCACCUGUGGUCAGGAGUUCCAGACCAGCCUGGCCAAUAUGGUGAAACCCUGUCUCUA
rfam:Nomascus leucogenys chromosome 9, whole genome shotgun sequence.